AUUGAACGCUGGCGGCAGGCCUAACACAUGCAAGUCGAGCGAGCGGCGGACGGGGGAGGAAUGUAUGGGGACUGCCCGAUAGAGGGGGAUAACUACUGGAAACGGUAGCUAAUACCGCAUACUAUCGGAUAACCCAUAUGGGAUUAGCUAGUAGGUGAGGUAAUGGCUCACCUAGGCGACGAUCCCUAGCUGGUCUGAGAGGAUGAUCAGCCACACUGGGACUUAGACACGUCCCAGACUCCUACGGAGGCAGCAGUGGGGAAUAUUGCACAAUGGGCGCAAGCCUGAUGCAGCCAUGCCGCGUGUAUGAAGAAGUCUUUCGGGUUGUAAAGUACUUUCAGUCGGGAGGCGUUACCUACAGAAGAAGCACCGGCUAACUCCGUGCCAGCCGCCGCGGUAAUAC
rnacentral:rRNA from 1 species